GAGCGAUGAUGAAAAAGGCUUUACUCCUGACCUUUAUGAAGUUUCUACACUUGAUCUGAGCUCA
rnacentral:snoRNA from 1 species